rnacentral:rRNA from 1 species
AGAUUGAACGCUGGCGGUAGGCCUAACACAUGCAAGUCGAGCGCGAAAGUACCUUCGGGUGCGAGUAGAGCGGCGGACGGGUGCGUAACGCGUAGGAAUCUGCCUGGUAGUGGGGGAUAACUCGGGGAAACUCGAGCUAAUACCGCAUACGCCCCAGUGGGGGAAAGCGGGGGACCUUCGGGCCUGGCGCUAUCAGAUGAGCCUGCGUCGGAUUAGCUAGUUGGUAGGGUAAUGGCCUACCAAGGCGACGAUCCGUAGCUGGUCUGAGAGGAUGGAUCACGCC